GAUAAACGCUGGCGGCGCACAUAAGACAUGCAAGUCGAACGGACUUAACUCAUUCUUUUAGAUUGAGAGCGGUUAGUGGCGGACUGGUGAGUAACACGUAAGCAACCUGCCUAUUAGAGGGGAAUAACAGUGAGAAAUCAUUGCUAAUACCGCAUAUGCUAACAGUAUCGCAUGAUACAGUUAGGAAAGGAGCAAUCCGCUAAUAGAUGGGCUUGCGUCUGAUUAGAUAGUUGGUGGGGUAACGGCCUACCAAGUCGACGAUCAGUAGCCGGACUGAGAGGUUGAACGGCCACAUUGGGACUGAGAUACGGCCCAG
rnacentral:rRNA from 1 species